CCUACGGGAGGCAGCAGUGGGGAAUAUUGGGCAAUGGGCGUAAGCCUGAAGCAGCGAAGCCGCGUGAGGGAUGAAGGUUCUAUGGAUCGUAAACCUCGUUUGUAAGGGAAUAAGGUGCGGGACGUAUCCAGUUGUGAAUGUACCUUAUUAGUAAGGAAAGGAUAACUCAGUGCCAGCAGCCGCGGUAAGACGAAGGAUCCGAGCGUUAUCCGGAUUUGUUGGGUUUAAAGGGUGCGUAGGCGGCCUUUUAAGUGAGCGGUGAAAGUCUGUGGCUCAACCAUAGAAUUGCCUUUGAAACUGGGAGGCUUGAGUAUGUUCGAGGAAGGCGGAAUUCGUGGUGUAGCGGUGAAAUGCUUAGAUAUCACGCAGAACCUCGAUUGCGAAGGCAGCUUGCCAAGCCAUGACUGACGCUGAUGCACGAAAGCGUGGGGAUCAAACAGGAUUAGAUACCCCUGUAGUC
rnacentral:rRNA from 1 species